rnacentral:lncRNA from 1 species
UCUCCCUUUCCCCCAUUCAUGCAUUCUCUUCCCCUUGCUGCAGUCGACCACCUUCUUCAUCCCAAUUCUCCUUCACCUCUCUUUCCCACUAUCUUCUUCUUCACUAUGCUGCCAACCCUCACUCCUCUCCAUUUCCCCUCCAUUUUCCAUCUUUGCCGCACCACACCCCAGCAGCCACCCACUGCCAGCAGCUUCCCACCCUCACGCCUCUAGCCCAUUGUCCCAACUCUAGCAAUCAGCUGUUCAUCACCAGCCCGCCAAUAGCCGUGUCCAUUCGAGCUGUAGUCCACCUAAGCCGAGCCAAUCUCCCCUUGGCCAAGAGCUUGUAAGGCCGUAGAAGCCACCGUCGAGCCUUCGUGCAACCCGUGGUUGUCUCGAGUCCUUGACGUCGUCGCAAGCCCGCCGCCGUCAUAAUCCGGUGAGUUAAUUCCCUAAUCGUUGAUUAGGUCGUUAAUUACGCUUAAGGGUGGUUAGUUUAGCGCUAAUAAGGGUAGUUUAGCUCGAUCUAGUGGCUUUUCGGAUUUUAGGAGCUAGAUCUAUGUAGGAUUUAGCUUGCAUGUAUGCUGUGAUGUGUGGGAAGUCUUGCAUGUGAGUUUCUUGAAGGUUUAUGGCUACUAAGCUUGCAAGAGAUGUGCUCAAAGGAGUUGAGUCCGAAUUUCUCUUCAAUCUGUUUACUGGACACUUGCCUGUUACUAUUUUUGUGGGUUAAAAUGUGCUACGAUUUUGAGGUUACUUCUUUCUUGAAAAAUAUUCUAAACAUCUUCACUUAUGACAUAUAUUUUACUCAAGCUUUUAUGGAUUUAAAAGAAUAAGAUUUCAGCUUCGUUGCAUGCAAGGAAGAAUUUCGUUUUGUGCUGGAACCAGUGACCUUUUGGUGUUUAAAAGAUUUUUAUCAAUUCUUAGGGUUCGAUUUUCAAAAGAGUUUCUCCACAAAAUUUUUUCAUCAUAUCUUGAAGUUUAACAUAGUCGAAUUUCAGAGCAAAUGGACGAGUUUUAGACCUUGAACCAAGCUGGUUUUUGAAAACAUAAUUUUUGGAUAUGGACAUAGUUUUGAUAAUGAUUUGAGCGAUUUACUGCUCAUUUUCUAGAAAGAUCUGGGUUAAGGUGUCUUCAUAAUUUUUUUUAAGUGUCCUUUAUAACAUAUUUAAAUUUUAGGAUUUUAUGAACUCGUUUGGUUAUGUUUCUGGAAUUAAUCUUGGAGACGUGCAAGUGGACUCGUUUUCUACCGGUGAGGGCCGGUUGUGGUUUUAUGGUUGCUCUUGGUGUCUUGCUUGCUGGAAAAUGUAUAUUUUGUGAUUCGGUUGAUUUUUGGCAUGUUGAGAACUUAUGCGUGAUAUUACGAGAUUGGUUGCCCUAUGUUGGUUCCGAUUUUUAUGUCAAAAGAUGGCUUUAUAAGCCUUUUAAUAGAAAAACAAUAAGGUGUUGGGUUUGGAUACCAAAACUUAAAUGUUCAACAAAAUAAGGGGGUUUUAAAGUAGAACUGUGCAAAGUUUGACGGGUUAAUUUUGAGUACAUGAGCACAUACGAAUUUUUUCCAAUAUUUUUAAAGAAAAAAAAUGGGGUGACUCUAAAUUGUUUCCAAAAUGGGUGGUUAGACAAAGAAAUAGAAAAUAAAUAUGGUGUCGGGUUCGAACGCCAAGUUUUAUGUGCUCAAUAAAAUCGUGAGGUUUCAAAUUAGAUGCGUGCAAAGUUUGACGGGUUGAUUUCAAAUACGUGACCCCGUACGAAUUUAUUUCGGAAAGUUUUGAACAAAAAAAAAAGAGUUGCCAAGUUGGUUUUUAAAAAGGGAUUUUGGUGUUCUUGGCUGUAUGAUGGAAGAAAAAAGUUGACUUGAUUGAUGAUGUGCCUGCAUGGUUAGGUUAAUUAAGUUGGUUCAGUUUAAUGAAUCACAAUUUAUUUAAUUAAUUGCGAUUUAUUUGAUUAAUCGUAAUUAGCAUAAUUAAUGACGGAUUAGCCGUUUCGUAAAAUUUUACGUUUGUUUUCUUGGAUGAAUUUAUGCGUGAAUUUGGUGACUUAUAUAUGCUAUGAAGUGCCAAUGAUUGCUUGAUGGUAGUUGUUGAUUUUUAAUACAAAACUUGGUUUGAUGGGCAUUUAAAUAGAAAAAAAUGCGAGGUGUCGAGUUUUGACACCAACUUUUAUGUACUAUAUAAAACCGUGGAAUUUUAAAAUGGGAGCGUACUAAGUUUGACGGUUCGAUUCCGAAUAUGUGACCACGCACGAUUAUUUUACUGGGAUUUUUAAUAUGAAGAAAAAGUGGCUAAGUUCAUUAUUUGGAAAUGAGGCAUUUGAACGCAAAGCGUUAUAUUCUUAGCUAAGUAUGUGCUUGUAUGGUCACUAAGUGGAUCUCGUCCUGAUGCGUAUGAUUAUGCGGGACGAUGCUUGGUUUUUAUCAGAUGCUCGGAGGAGGUCUAGAAGCCGAGUCGCAGUUGAGACUAGACUGAUGCUCCUUUAUGGAAUGCCAUCUAGGUGGGAGUUCUAGACGUUGCCGUACUCGAUGGGGCAGGAUGAUGCCCGGUUAUGACGGAUGAUCGUCGACUUUUGAGUUAGCCGUGGUCGAUGGGUCGUAAUAAUCGAAAUACGCCUGAAUGAUUGUGAUGCUUUGCCCAUGAAUAGCUAUAAUCGGGACCCAUGUGAAUGUUUGGAGGAUG